UACGUAGGGGGCAAGCGUUGUCCGGAUUUAUUGGGCGUAAAGAGCGUGUAGGCGGCUUGGUAGGUCCGCUGUGAAAACUCGAGGCUCAACCUCGAGAUGUCGGCGGAAACCACUUGGCUAGAGUCCGGAAGAGGAGAGUGGAAUUCCCGGUGUAGCGGUGAAAUGCGCAGAUAUCGGGAAGAACACCUAUGGCGAAGGCAGCUCUCUGGGACGGUACUGACGCUGAUGCGCGAAAGCGUGGGGAGCAAACGGG
rnacentral:rRNA from 1 species